rnacentral:rRNA from 1 species
UACGGAGGGGGCCAGCGUUGUUCGGAAUUAUUGGGCGUAAAGGGCGCGUAGGCGGCCGAAUAAGUCUGAUGUGAAAUCCCACGGCUCAACCGUGGAACUGCAUCUGAAACUGUUCGGCUCGAGUCCGGGAGAGGGUAGUGGAAUUCCCAGUGUAGCGGUGAAAUGCGUAGAUAUUGGGAGGAACACCGGGUGGCGAAGGCGCCACUCUGGGCCGGUACUGAC